GCCCGGGUAACACAGUCGGUAGAGCCUCAGACUCUUAACCUGAGGGUCCAGGGUUCGAGUCCCUGCUUGGGCA